rnacentral:rRNA from 1 species
UACGAAGGGUGCAAACGUUGCUCGGAAUUAUUGGGCGUAAAGCGCACGUAGGCGGCUCUGCAAGUCGGAUGUGAGAUCCCUCGGCUCAACCAAGGAAGUGCAUCCGAAACUGCGGAGCUUGAGUACUUAAGAGGAUCGCGGAAUUCCCGGUGUAGAGGUGAAAUUCGUAGAUAUCGGGAGGAACACCAGUGGCGAAGGCGGCGAUCUGGGAAGAUACUGACGCUGAGGUGCGAAAGCGUGGGGAGCAAACAGG